GUGGGGAAUCUUGCGCAAUGGGCGAAAGCCUGACGCAGCCAUGCCGCGUGAAUGAUGAAGGUCUUAGGAUUGUAAAAUUCUUUCACCGGGGACGAUAAUGACGGUACCCGGAGAAGAAGCUCCGGCUAACUUCGUGCCAGCAGCCGCGGUAAUACGAAGGGGGCUAGCGUUACUCGGAAUUACUGGGCGUAAAGGGCGCGUAGGCGGACAGCUUAGUCAGAGGUGAAAGCCCAGGGCUCAACCGUGGAAUUGCCUUUGAUACUGGCUGUCUUGAGUUUGGGAGAGAUGAGUGGAACUCCGAGUGUAGAGGUGAAAUUCGUAGAUAUUCGGAAGAACACCAGUGGCGAAGGCGACUCACUGGCCCAAUACUGACGCUGAGGCGCGAAAGCGUGGGGAGCAAACAGGAUUAGAAACCCGUGUAGUCC
rnacentral:rRNA from 1 species